UAGUUAUGUUCUUGAAACUUAAAAAAUUUGGCGGUAUUUUAGUCUAUUCAGAGGAACCUGUUCUAUAAUCGAUAAUCCACGAUGGACCUUACUUAAAUUUGUAUUCAGUUUAUAUACCGUCGUUAUUAGAAUAUUUUAUAAGAAUGUUAAUUUUCAAAAUUUUAAAAAAGAAAAUAUAUCAGAUCAAGGUGUAGCUUAUAUUUAAGUAGAAAUGGGUUACAAUAAAUUUAUUUAUAUGAAUAAAAAUAUGAAAAAUUUUUUGAAAGUGGAUUUGAUAGUAAAAUUAUAAAGAUUAAUAAUUUGAUUUUAGCUCUAAAAUAUGCACACAUCGCCCGUCACUCUUACUAUUAAGGUAAGAUAAGUCGUAACAUAGUAGAUGUACUGGAAAGUGUAUCUAGAAUGCAAUUUAAAGCUUAUUUAGUAAAGUAUUUCAUUUACAUUGAAAAGAUUUUUGUGCAAAUCAAUAUAAAUUGAUUAAAUUUUAUUUAUUUAUUUUUUUUUAAAAAAAAAUUAAUUAUUAAAAAUAAUUAUAAAAAAUAAUGUUUUAGUAUUUAAUAAAGAAAAAAUAAUUUUAAUUAUAGUGUAAUAGUAUUGUGAAAGAAAAUUGAAA
rnacentral:rRNA from 1 species